UACUAUGUUACGACUUAUCUUAUCUUAAUAAUAAGAGCGACGGGCGAUGUGUACAUAUUUUAGAGCUAAAAUCAAAUCUUUAAUCUUUAAAAUUUUACUAUCAAAUCCACUUUCAAAAAAAAAUUUCAAAUUUAAAUCCAUUUAAAUAAAUUUAUUGUAACCCAUCUCUACUCAAAUAUAAGCUACACCUUGAUCUGAUAUAAAUUUUAAUAAAAAUUAUUGAAAAUUAUUACCCUAAUAAGAUAUUCUAAUAACGACGGUAUAUAAACUGAAAAACAAAUUUAAGUUAGGUACAUCGUGGAUUAUCAAUUACAGGACAGGUUCCUCUGAAUAGACUAAAAUACCGCCAAAUUUUUUAAGUUUCAAGAACAUAACUAUUACUACCUUAGUAUUUAUUAAUUACAUUUUAAAUAAUAGGGUAUCUAAUCCUAGUUUA
rnacentral:rRNA from 1 species